AACACGUGUGAUUGUUUAAAUUUAAAAUUUAUUUUAUAUUAAAAAAUUGAAAUUUAUUUUAUUUUAUAAUUUAUUUUUUGAAAUGAUAAUUUAUUUCACACUAUUUUGAAAUGGUCCCUAUGAGAAUCAUACUCUCAAUAUCGAAGGCAGAAAUUCAAAUCUCCCCAAUCUCCAUACCACUCCAAAUCCAAUCCUAUAAACGAUUCUCACUGACCCAUGAAAUUCUAACCCAGAAAGUAACAAUCUUGAAUGUGCCCAGAAGCUCGAUCAACAAAUCGACUGGGUUUGAGCGACUGAGAGCUUAAAUGUUUCGCCCAAUUACAGGUGUAUGAACUCAUUUUGAAGCUUCCAAUUACUUAUGGGAUUUGGGUAUUUUUGUCUUAGAAAUUUGUGUUAUUAUGAAAGUAGUUUAUGUUAAAACAAUUCUACUUGCUUGAGAUUGGCUGAGUUGGUUUGUGUUGUUAGUUAGUGAUAUUUUUUCAUAGCCAGUCAAGAGUGUUGUAUCUCCAACAUCUUCCACAUUAGAUGGGACUUUGGUUAAUUUUUAAUUGUCAAGUAAAUUAAAGAUUUGUAUUA